CAGUCUUUCUGCUCUGCAGUAGGAGUCCUCUGUGCCUCAUUUCUCAAGUGCAGUUUAUAUGUCACCUGUGUUCAGAAAUCUGUCCAUUGCCUUCCUCUAAGAUUUCUAAUUUGUUAGCAUAGAUUUUUAUUCUCUUCUGUAAUCCUA